ACCUGCAUAGUGGCUGCACUGUGUGUUGGGAGGGCAACCAGGAGUCUUUAUCACUGCAGGACUGUUGCCAAGAUUAAGAAGAAGGUCAAGCUGAGCAAACUCCCAUUGCAGCAAAGCCACCAGGAACUCUAGUUACUGAAGAUGGCCAUAUUCCUUCGCAAAAAGGGCCUGGAAAGUGCUAGCAAUGCCCUGUUCCUCUUAACCACCUCCAACCCUCUCUCAAGGAAAUGGCCAAAGUUAAGUAAAAAUGGCUGGCAUGUUAGAUUUUUUUUUUUUUUAAUGAAGUAAAAAUGUAUACUCACAUUAUGAAUAAACUGUGUUUUAAAGU